AUGAGGCCCCGGACGGCGUGGGCAGAGCCCUCGGGGCGGCGCUGUAGCCCACGCAAAACCCACAGCCUCGGCCACGUGGCUGCAGAGGCCACUGGGAGGUGUGGACGUGGUCGCUUGGGGCGCAUGGCCGCCCCUGGGGCUCCCGGGCUGCCAGGCGUUGGGCAGACGCGGCCUGGCUCCCGGUGGGGGCACAGAGCGUCCUGCUCUGAAACCAGACCGCAGCGCCCACAGCCCGCUGAGCCCGCGGGUGCUGCGGCCCCUGUCAGGUCCCUGCUGCGGGGUCCUUCUCACAGUCCCUGUCACAGAGUCCCUGUCGCGGGGUCCCUGUCGCAGAGUCCCCGUUGCAGAGUCCCUGUCACAGGGUCCCUGUCACGGAGUCCCUGCCGCGGGGUCCCUGUCGCAGAGUCCCCGUUGCAGAGUCCCUGUCACAGGGUCCCUGUCGCGGGGUCCCUGUCACAGGGUCCCUGUCGCGGGGUCCCCGUCACAGAGUCCCUGUCACAGGGUCCCCGUCACGGGGUCCCUGUCACAGGGUCCCCGUCGCGGGGUCCCUGUCACGGAGUCCCCGUCGCGGGGUCCCUGUCACGGGGUCCCUGUCACCGGGUCCCCGUCGCGGGGUCCCUGUCACAGAGUCCCCGUCGCGGGGUCCCUGUCACAGAGUCCCCGUCGCGGGGUCCCUGUCGCGGGGUCCCUGUCACAGAGUCCCCGUCGCGGGGUCCCUGUCGCGGGGUCCCUGUCACGGAGUCCCUGUCGCGGGGUCCCUGUCACGGAGUCCCUGUUGCGGGGUCCCUGUCACGGAGUCCCUGUUGCGGGGUCCCUGUCACGGAGUCCCUGUCGCGGGGUCCCUGUCGCGGGGUCCCUGUCGCAGAGUCCCCGUCGCGGGGUCCCUGUCGCGGGGUCCCCGUCGUGGAGUCACACAGAGUCCCUGUCGCGGGGUCCCUGUCGCAGGGUCCCUGUCACAGAGUCCCUGUCACGGGGUCCCUGUCGCGGGGUCCCUGUCACAGAGUCUCUGUCACGGGGUCCCUGUCUCAGAGUCCCUGUCGCAGAGCCCCUGUCGCGGGGUCCCCGUCACAGAGUCCCUGUCGCGGGGUCCCUGUCGAGGGGUCCCCGUCACAGAGUCCCUGUCGCAGAGUCCCCGUCGAGGGGUCCCUGUCACAGAGUCCCUGUCGCAGAGUCCCUGCCGCGGGGUCCCUGUCACAGAGUCCCUGUUGCGGGGUCCCUGUCACAGAGUCCUGUCGCGGGGUCCCUGUCGCGGGGUCCCUGUCGCAGAGUCCCUGUCGCGGGGUCCCCGUCGCGGGCCCUGGCCGGAGUUGUCGGGGUGCGCAGCCUCCUCCCAGCGUCCUCCAGGGUGGAGGGGCCUGCGCAGUUCCCACGCACGACAGCGCCCAGCCGCACUGGCCGGCCCUCAGGAAGGCCACCGACCGGGCGUCGAGCGACUGCGGGCGGGGUUCCUGCCCAGUCACGAUGGCACAGGGGACUGGAGGAGCGCGCGCCCCGAGAACCCUGUCGCUGCGUUGUGUGCCGUCGCCAACCCCAGCAGCCGCUCUGUCCUCGCCCGGGCACCCGGGAGCGACGCUCACGUGA
ensembl:lncRNA